rnacentral:rRNA from 1 species
CUUAGUGGCGGACGGGUGAGUAACGCGUGGGUAACCUGCCUUAUACAGGGGGAUAACACCUAGAAAUAGGUGCUAAUACCGCAUAAGCGCACGGGGCUGCAUGGCCCAGUGUGAAAAACUCCGGUGGUAUAAGAUGGACCCGCGUCUGAUUAGCUUGUUGGCGGGGUAACGGCCCACCAAGGCGACGAUCAGUAGCCGGCCUGAGAGGGUGGACGGCCACAUUGGGACUGAGACACGGCCCAAACUCCUACGGGAGGCAGCAG